rnacentral:rRNA from 1 species
AGGACGAACGCUGGCGGCGUGCUUAACACAUGCAAGUCGAACGGAAAGGCCCUUCGGGGUACUCGAGUGGCGAACGGGUGAGUAACACGUGAGCAAUCUGCCCCUAGCUCUGGGAUAGCUCCGGGAAACCGGGGCUAAUACCGGAUAUGACCUCCGAGGGCAUCCUUGGAGGUGUAAAGGAUUCUGGCUAGGGAUGGGCCCGCGGCCUAUCAGCUUGUUGGUGGGGUAAUGGCCUACCAAGGCGACGACGGGUA